rnacentral:rRNA from 1 species
AGUGAACGCUGGCGGCGUGCCUAAUACAUGCAAGUCGAACGGAGAUUAAGUAGCUUGCUAUUUAAUCUUAGUGGCGCACGGGUGAGUAAUAUAUAGCUAAUCUGCCCUACACUAGAGGACAACAGUUGGAAACGACUGCUAAUACUCUAUACUCCUUCUAAGCAUAAGCUUAGUCGGGAAAGUUAAUAAAAUUUGCUUUUUGGUUUCAUCUUGAGAGAUAUGGACGUAUAACAACUAAAUUGAUACGCCGAUGUGGCAAACAUCGGUGUGCUUUAGGUGGGUCAAGGGAGCGCUUGCGCUUCUUGUCGCAAAGAAAGACUUUGCCUUUCUGCGAAGUCCGUAUUUGUCAAGAUGAAAUCUUGCAAAUGUAUUUUUUCGGUGUAGGAUGAGGCUAUAUCGUAUCAGCUAGUUGGUAGGGUAACGGCCUACCAAGGCUAUGACGCGUAACUGGUCUGAGAGGAUGAUCAGUCACACUGGAACUGAGACACGGUCCAGACUCCUACGGGAGGCAGCAGUAGGGAAUAUUGCUCAAUGGGGGAAACCCUGAAGCAGCAACGCCGCGUGGAGGAUGACACUUUUCGGAGCGUAAACUCCUUUUCUUGGGAAAGAAUUAUGACGGUACCCAAGGAAUAAGCACC